AUUGAACGCUGGCGGCAUGCCUUACACAUGCAAGUCGAACGGUAACAGGUCUUCGGAUGCUGACGAGUGGCGAACGGGUGAGUAAUACAUCGGAACGUGCCUAGUAGUGGGGGAUAACUACUCGAAAGAGUGGCUAAUACCGCAUGAGAUCUACGGAUGAAAGCAGGGGAUCGCAAGACCUUGUGCUACUAGAGCGGCCGAUGGCAGAUUAGGUAGUUGGUGGGAUAAAAGCUUACCAAGCCGACGAUCUGUAGCCGGGCUGAGGGGACGAUCAGCAAGACUGGGACUGAGACACGGCCCAGACUCCUACGGGAGGCAGCAGUGGGGAAUUUUGGACAAUGGGCGAAAGCCUGAUCCAGCAAUGCCGCGUGCAGGAUGAAGGCCUUCGGGUUGUAAACUGCUUUUGUACGGAACGAAAAGCCCCGGGUUAAUACCCUGGGGUCAUGACGGUACCGUAAGAAUAAGCACCGGCUAACUACGUGCCAGCCGCCGCCGUAA
rnacentral:rRNA from 1 species